UCUGAGCUGUCCGCACAGAGCCGGACGCGGGGCUCGAACCCCCAAACCGUGAGUCGGACGCUCAACCGACGGAGCCGCCCAGGCGCCCCUGUUCGGAGUUUUUAAAAAUUCAUUCGAUUUCCAAGACGAAGCGUGGAGCAAACACGUAAUGAUGAUGGUGUCAUCAGACACAUCAAACACACGAAGACGGUAGGAGUCACCUCGUGCAGGGCUGCCUGUUAAGGGCGCCUACGUUCCACGCGCGAAAUAGCUCCGUUAACGCAGCGGCCACGAUUAUGCCAGGUAGACUAUUACGCAGCUAAAGAAGCAGAGGUCCAGAGAGGUGAAGCGACUUGCCCAAAGCCACAUAGCAAGAAAAUAACAGGGCGGAGAUUCGCACCCAGUCAUCGCAUCGAGCUUGCGAUUUCAUUGGCAUGGUUUGCUCGGGAUAAGGCGACGUCGAGGGGAGAAAAGAGUCGUAGAAACAGAAAAAUAAGUAAAUCUUCGUGCCGGGGCUUAUGCCACGAGACAUGCCCCGGGGGAGGCACCAGGGACAAGUAGAUUUACAGGCACAAAUCCUUGCAGUGAGAAUGAGCCUGCAGCGCCCCCUCCAGGGUAGCGCAGGGGUCUCAUCUGAGGAGUAGCGGAAAAAUCCGUUUGGAAUGUAUUGCCAGCCCACUGUGAUCCCCUCACUCCCGGCUAAGGGCCCCGGUGGGCGUCUUAUGCCUGGCAAGGCCGUACUCCUUGACCUUCCUCUAGAUCUAGACGGUUCCCCAAGAUGUGCCAGUGAGAGUUCCCUCCGUGAUAAUUUAGGGUUGAGAGACAGGAAUCGAAACACACACACACACACACACACACACACGCACGCUCACACACUUACUCACACGCAUACUGACUGACUCAUCCUCUCUCAGGGUUGGACCAAUGGUUGGACCAUUGGUGGGACCAAUGACGUGUGAAGUUGGGCACCGUGGGGUGGCCCACGAUGCGGGGAAAGACCUGGAGUCUGUUUCCAGUGAAAGGGAAAGGAGUAACAGCAGCCGGCGGAGAGCAACAGAGGCAGGGGUGGGCAAGGGCCCCCCUGGGUCCCUGAGGGCCUUUUUCCCUAUUUUCCCUUGCACAAGCUCAGGUGCAUUCCGAUCUUAUGGCUCCCCCCAAACCGCCUUAGAAUGAUUCAUUCUGCCUGAGCAACCUCAGUCAGAUUUCCAUCACUUACAACCCCGUGAGUCUGACCCACCCACCUGGCUUGGCCUUCAGCGCCCAGCUUCUCUGCCCAGAACUGGGCCAAGUCCACAGACAAAGGGAUGUUCGGGGGAGGGGGGGAAAUCCCUUCCCGGCAGACCUUCUCUCUAACUCUCACACUCAGCUGGCACUGAGGUUUCAGACGGUGGCCCGCGGGAGCCCUGCCCGAUGGGGCCAGGCAAACCAGCGUGGACGUCUUCCCCCCCCCCGGCCUGAGGUCAGCGAAACCCAGGCCAGCGAUUUCCCUCUGUCAGCAGCCCGAUUGAUCAUUUUCUCAGGCUGCCUGGGUUACUCCGGUUCCCGAGCCUCAGAUGUUCGCGGUGGAAGCCUGUCUGUCUCUCCUCCUGGAUGCCCUGGGGCCUUGUUAAACCCCUCUCUUCGGCUCAAGAAGUCAAUGUCCAGCCUAAGAAAUGGCCCCAUUGCAUAAUCCAUCUGGGGGGUGUGGGGCAAUAUUCAAAUCCCUGGUGUGGACACCGGAGUCUUGCUGUCUCUCUUUAGGGCUGAUAGUUAAAAAUUCAUGGUUAUUUUCAAAGGAGAAAAAAAAUGCUUCAACUCCUUUCCUAUUUGCAAACGUUCCCUUUUCUGAUUCAAAAUCAAACUUUUGUCUAGACAGGCGAGGGCUUUUUUUCUUUUCUUCUUCUUUUUUUUUUUUUUUUGCUGAUAUAUCUUGCCAGCUCAGAAACCUUGAGGUUUUCCAAAUGCAACACCCCCGCCCCUUCCUGGCGGCCGGUCUCCAGCACCCUGUUCCUCCCAAACACAUCCUCUAGGCAGCUCAGAGCAGACCCAACUGGGUGGAGAAGACCGAGGUGGACAUUGGCACGUUCCUCCUUUGGCUUGGCCAUCUUCCUUAGCAAGUUAUCUGCACUGGCAGGCCGUGCUAACCAUCUGGCCAGUCGAGCUCUGCUUCAGUGUCUGAAACAGCUAUCGAAAGCCGUCCUCGUCGCCCAAUAGCGGCUGCUGUGUUUUUCUUCCCGUCUUCCAAGGAAUACGUGUCCAUCGUAGAAAAAUUAGUAAUUGGAUAAACCCUAAAUAGACUAGAUACCCCAUCUCAUAAUCCUAUCCUUCUAAAAGUUUUCUUUCUGUCUGUCUCUUUCCCUACACACACACAUGCGCGCACGCAAAACUUCUACCCAUAGGAGUCUCAAAGUCUUAUCCUGAACCUUGAUAAGUCUCAAAACUUACCCCGGACCUUGGCGGGUUGAGCAAUGCAAAGUCGUUAUCUCACAGCUUCUGUGGGCCACCAGGAAUUCAAGAGCAGCUUGUCUGAGCAGCUGUGGUACAGGAUCUCUCAUUGUAGUCAGAAGCUGGCUGGGGCCGCAGUCUCAUCUGAAGGCUGGACUGGACCUGGACGCUGGGCUGUCAAAAUGGCACACGCACGUGGCGGUUGAGUUGGUACUGGCCGUCGGCGGGAGACCUCGGUUUCUCGCCCGUGGUCUCUUUCCUUCCGUAGGGUGCUUAGGUGUCUUCGCAGCAUGGCAGUCGGCUUCUCCCGGAGCGAGCGAUCCAAGCCAGCAAAGCAGAAGCGGCCGUGGUGUUUUCGACUCACGCGUGAAGUCAUACUUGACCGCUUCUGCCACGUUCUGCUGGCCACGCCGACCAACCUUGGUGCGCUGUGGGAGGAAACUAUCCAAGCAUAUAUACCAGCUCACCAGCCUUGUGAGUGGGUCACCUUGGAGCGAUUCGGCAGACCACUUUGGAGCAGUGAGGCCUUGAGAAGGAGGUUACAGUCCCAACAACGUCUGACGGCGACUUCAUGGGAAAUUCCGAGCCGGAACGGCCGAGCCGAGCCACUCUCAAGUUCCUGCCCUACAGAAAUUGUGAGACAAUAAACGUCUCUUAUUUUUUAAGCUGCGAA